rnacentral:misc_RNA from 1 species
GAUGAAGAACGUAGCGAAAUGCGAUACGUAAUGUGAAUUGCAGAAUUCAGUGAAUCAUCGAGUCUUUGAACGCACAUUGCGCCCCCUGGUAUUCCGGGGGGCAUGCCUGUCCGAGCGUCAUUGCUGCCCUCAAGCACGGCUUGUGUGUUGGGCCUCCGUCCUCCUCCCGGGGGACGGGCCCGAAAGGCAGCGGCGGCACCGCGUCCGGUCCUCGAGCGUAUGGGGCUUCGUCACCCGCUCUUGUAGGCCCGGCCGGCGCUUGCCGACACAUCAAUCUUUUUUCCAGGUUGACCUCGGAUCAGGUAGGGAUACCCGCUGAACUUAUGCAUAUCAAUAAGCGGAGGA